UGUUUCAGUCCGGGUGCUAAAUUUGUUUUCGUGUUUCCUCCUCAGUGGCUAGCAGGAACCGGUGGAUAAAGUGAAUAGUCAUGAUUCUCGAACUGUAAUUACAAUGGGGUCUCAUGAAAAAAUAUUAGCCUGAGAUGUUGAGAUGGAGCAGGACAAUGCAGGGAGCGGGAACUCUGAGGAUGUGCGGAGCAGCGAGACUUCCCCUGUGACCUGCGCGGCAGACACCAACCCUCUCCCCUGCGCUGCAGACACCAACCCUCUCCCUUGCGCUGCAGACACCAACCCUCUCCCUUGCGCUGCAGACACCAACCCUCUCCCCUCUGAAGCUCAACCAAGCACCAGCUGUGAAGAGCAAGAGCUCAGCGACGCUCCUUUGUUAGAAAACCACAUCCAGUCAGAGGAGACUGAGUCACACCCGGAUGGGCAUGU